GGUACCGGUACCGCACUGAUUGGGUCCGGUACCGCACUGGGUCCGGUGCUGCCCUGAUUGGGUCCGGUCCGGUACCGGAGCUGCACUAAUUGGGUCCGGUACCGGUCCCGCACUGAUUGGUCCCGGUCCCGGUGCCGGUCCUGCACUGAUUGGGUCCGGUCCGGUUCUGCACUGACCGGUCCCAGUCCCGGUCCCGGUUCUGCACUGACUGGUCCCGGUUCCGGUCCCGGUUCGGUACUGACGGGUCCCGGUCCCGGUUCGGCACUGACGGGUCCCGGUCCCGGUCCCGGUUCGGCACUGACGGGUCCCGGUCCCGGUCCCGGUUGGGCACUGACUGGUCCCGGUGUCGGUCCCGGUUCGGCACUGACGGGUCCCGGUUCCGGUUCCAGCUCCUGGUCAGCUUUAGGUCGUGGCGGCGCCGCUCGUGUCUCGUGUCCCGCGUGGACGGGGCGGAGCUGCCGGGGCUGGACGAUGUGACGGAGCGAUUCCAGAACAGCCGGUCGGUUCCAUCUCCCCCCGUCUCUGAUCGCUCCAUUUUGGGCACCACCACCAACAUCCUGUGCAGCACCGUGCCCAUAUACUGGGUGUAAUGGGACAGCCCCAUAGAGCGCCCCAUAACAACCCCAUAACAACAUCACCCCAUAGAGCACCCCAUAGAGUGCCCCAUAACACCCCAUAACAACCCCAUAACACCACCAACAUCCUGUGCAGCACCGUGCCCAUAUACUGGGUGUAAUGGGAACGGCCCCAUAGAGCGCCCCAUAACAACCCCAUAACAACCCCAUAACAACCCUAUAACAACCCCAUAGCACCCCAUAGAACAACCCAUAGCACCCCAUAACAACCCCAUAACACCACCAUCAACAUCCUGUGCAGUGCUGUGCCUGUGUACUGGGUGUAAUGGGACAGCCCCAUAGAGCGCCCCAUAACAACCCCAUAACACCAUCGCCCCAUAGAGCACCCCAUAGAACAACCCAUAACACCCCAUAACAACCCCAUAACACCAUCAAUAUCCUGUGCAGUGCUGUGCCUGUGUACUGGGUAUAAUGGGACAGCCCCAUAGAGCGCCCCAUAACACCCCAUAACAACAUCACCCCAUAGAGCACCCCAUAGAACAACCCAUAACACCCCCAUAACAACCCUAUAACAACCCCAUAGCACCCCAUAGAACAACCCAUAGCACCCCAUAACAGCCCCAUAACAACACCAUCAACAUCCUGUGCAGCACCGUGCCCAUAUACUGGGUGUAAUGGGAACGGCCCCAUAGAGCGCCCCAUAACACCCCAUAACAACCCCAUAACAACAUCACCCCAUAGAGCACCCCAUAACAACCCUAUAACAACCCCAUAACAACCCCAUAACAACCAUCAACAUCCUGUGCAGCACCGUGCCCAUAUACUGGGUGUGAUGGGACAGCCCCAUAGAGCGCCCCAUAACAACCCUAUAACAACCCCAUAACAACAUCACCCCAUAGAGCGCCCCAUAGAACAACCCAUAGCGCCCCAUAACAACCCCAUAACAACCAUCAACAUCCUGUACAGCACCGUGCCCAUAUACUGGGUGUAAUGGGACAGCCCCAUAGAGCGCCCCAUAGAUCACCCCAUAACACCCCAUAACAACCCCAUAACAACAUCGCCCCAUAGAGCACCCCAUAGAACAACCCAUAGCACCCCAUAACAGCCCCAUAACACCACCAUCAACAUCCUGUGCAGUGCUGUGCCUGUGUACUGGGUGUGAUGGGAACGGCCCCAUAGAGCGCCCCAUAACAACCCCAUAACACCCCAUAACAACACCCUAUAGAACAACCCCAUAGAGCACCCCAUAACAAUCCCAUAACAACAGCCCAUAACAACCCCAUAACAACAGCCCCCAUAGAACACCCCCCCAUAACAACACCCCAUAGAACAACCCCAUAACAACCCCAAUAAAGGCCGUGUCUGACGCA
rnacentral:lncRNA from 1 species